rnacentral:lncRNA from 1 species
CUAUAGCACAAGUUUUCAUGGUCGAGCGACCAUUUUUAUGUCCGUGUUCCUCCACACGUGUUUUUGUCCCCGGAGCACCUUAAAGCGGUUCUUGGCCUCCCGCGAGCUAUAUCACACAUUUCCGUGGCCAAACAGCCAGUUUUAUGUAUCCGACCUGCCACCUUCGUUUUAGACCGGGGAGGCCGUUAUGGCAUUUUUUUGCCACCCGUGAGCUAUAGCACACGAUUUUAUGGAAACCUAGACCCUAAUCCUAUCCCUAAACCCUAACUAAACAUCGACACUAAAGGAUUUUAGUGUUGAAAGCAUGGUAAAAUGAAAUUUGAGUCUCCCAACCUUAUCAACUUUGCUGACAUAGUAGAAUUUUAGUGUCCAAACCAUAGUACACGUUUUGGUCCCGGAGGCCGGUAAGGCUAUUUUUGGCCUCCCGUGACACAUGUUUUCAUCGUCAAACGAGAUUUCAUGCCUCCCGUCCCCACCCAUGAUUUGGCCACUGAGACUGCUAAGGCUGUUUAUGGCCUCCCGUAGGCUAUGGCACACGUUUUCAUGGUCGAGCGACCAUUUUUAAGUACGUGUUCCACCACCCGCUUUUGGUCCCAGAGCACCUUAAAAUGUCCUUGGCCUCCCACGAGCUGUAGCACACGUUUCCGUGGCCAAAGAGCCAAUUUCAUGUAUCCGACCUGCCACCUACGUUUUAGACCGGAGAGGCCGUUACACAUUUUUUGCCACAAGUGAGCUAUAGCACAGUUUUUAUGGUAACCUAGACCCCAAAUCCAAUCCCUAAACCCUAACCUUAAACACCGACACUAAAAGGUUUUAGUGUCCAAACCAUAGUAAAAUGAAGUUUGAGUCUCCAAACCAUAGUAAGCUUGCAGGCAUGGUAGAAUUUUAGUGUCCAAACCAUAGUACACGUUUUAGUCCCCGGCAGCCCGUAAGGCUAUUUUGGCCUCCCGUGACACAUGUUUUUGUCGUCGAACAUCGAUUUCGUGCCUCCCGACCGCCACCAUAUUUGACCAUAGAGACUGGUAAGGUUGUUUUGGCCUCCUGUGAGCUAUAGCACACGUUUUUAUGGCCGAGCGACCAUUUUUAUGUCCGUGUUCCUCCACACGUGUUUUUGUCCCCGGAGCACCUUAAAGCGGUUCUUGGCCUCCAGCGAGCUAUAUCACACAUUUCCGUGGCCAAACAGCCAGUUUUAUGUAUCCGACCUGCCACCUUCGUUUUAGACCGGGGAGGCCGUUAUGGCAAUUUUUUUGCCACCCGUGAGCUAUAGCACACGAUUUUAUGGAAACCUAGACCCUAAACCCUAUCCCUAAACCCUAAACCUAAACAUCGACACUAAAGGAUUUUAGUGUUGAAAGCAUGGUAAAAUGAAAUUUGAGUCUCCCAACCUUAUCAACUUUGCUGACAUAGUAGAAUUUUAGUGUCCAAACCAUAGUACACGUUUUGGUCCCCGGAGGCCGGUAAGGCUAUUUUUGGCCUCCCGUGACACAUGUUUUCAUCGUCAAACGACGAUUUCAUGCCUCCCGUCCGCCACCCAUGAUUUGGCCACUGAGACUGCUAAGGCUGUUUAUGGCCUCCCGUAGGCUAUGGCACACGUUUUCAUGGUCGAGCGACCAUUUUUAAGUACGUGUUCCACCACUCGCUUUUUGGUCCCAAGAGCACCUUAAAGUGGUCCUUGGCCUCCCACGAGCUGUAGCACACGUUUCCGUGGCCAAAGAGCCAAUUUCAUGUAUCCGACCUGCCACCUACGUUUUAGACCGGAGAGGCCGUUACGACAUUUUUUGCCACAAGUGAGCUAUAGCACACGUUUUUAUGGUAACCUAGACCCCAAAUCCAAUCCCUAAACCCUAACCUUAAACACCGACACUAAAAGGUUUUAGUGUCCAAACCAUAGUAAAAUGAAGUUUGAGUCUCCAAACCAUAGUAAGCUUGCAGGCAUGGUAGAAUUUUAGUGUCCAAACCAUAGUACACGUUUUAGUCCCCGGCAGCCCGUAAGGCUAUUUUGGCCUCCCGUGACACAUGUUUUUGUCGUCGAACAUCGAUUUCGUGCCUCCCGACCGCCACCCAUGAUUUGACCAUAGAGACUGGUAAGGUUGUUUUGGCCUCCCGUGAGCUAUAGCACACGUUUUCAUGGCCGAGCGACCAUUUUUAUGUCCGUGUUCCUCCACACGUGUUUUUGUCCCGGAGCACCUUAAAGCGGUUCUUGGCCUCCGCGAGCUAUAUCACACAUUUCCGUGGCCAAACAGCCAGUUUUAUGUAUCCGACCUGCCACCUUCGUUUUAGACCGGGGAGGCCGUUAUGGCAAUUUUUUUGCCACCCGUGAGCUAUAGCACACGAUUUUAUGGAAACCUAGACCCUAAUCCUAUCCCUAAACCUAAACCUAAACAUCGACACUAAAGGAUUUUAGUGUUGAAAGCAUGGUAAAAUGAAAUUUGAGUCUCCCAACCUUAUCAACUUUGCUGACAUAGUAGAAUUUUAGUGUCCAAACCAUAGUACACGUUUUGGUCCCCGGAGGCCGGUAAGGCUAUUUUUGGCCUCCCGUGACACAUGUUUUCAUCGUCAAACGACGAUUUCAUGCCUCCCGUCCGCCACCCAUGAUUUGGCCACUGAGACUGCUAAGGCUGUUUAUGGCCUCCGUAGGCUAUGGCACACGUUUUCAUGGUCGAGCGACCAUUUUUAAGUACGUGUUCCACCACCCGCGUUUUGGUCCCAGAGCACCUUAAAAUUGUCCUUGGCCUCCCACGAGCUGUAGCACACGUUUCCGUGGCCAAAGAGCCAAUUUCAUGUAUCCGACCUGCCACUACGUUUUAGACGGAGGCCGUUACGACAUUUUUUGCCACAAGUGAGCUAUAGCACACGUUUUUAUGGAACCUAGACCCCAAAUCCAAUCCCUAAACCCUAACCUUAAACACCGACACUAAAAGGUUUUAGUGUCCAAACCAUAGUAAAAUGAAGUUUGAGUCUCCAAACCAUAGUAAGCUUGCAGGCAUGGUAGAAUUUUAGUGUCCAAACCAUAGUACACGUUUUAGUCCCCGGCAGCCCGUAAGGCUAUUUUGGCCUCCCGUGACACAUGUUUUUGUCGUCGAACAGCGAUUUCGUGCCUCCCGACCGCCACCCAUGAUUUGACCAUAGAGACUGGUAAGGUUGUUUUGGCCUCCCGUGAGCUAUAGCACACGUUUUCAUGGCCGAGCGACCAUUUUUAUGUCCGUGUUCCUCCACACGUGUUUUUGUCCCCGGAGCACCUUAAAGCGGUUCUUGGCCUCCCGCGAGCUAUAUCACACAUUUCCGUGGCCAAACAGCCAGUUUUAUGUAUCCGACCUGCCACCUUCGUUUUAGACCGGGGAGGCCGUUAUGGCAAUUUUUUUGCCACCCGUGAGCUAUAGCACACGAUUUUAUGGAAACCUAGACCCUAAUCCUAUCCCUAAACCUAAACAUCGACACUAAAGGAUUUUAGUGUUGAAAGCAUGGUAAAAUGAAAUUUGAGUCUCCCAACCUUAUCAACUUUGCUGACAUAGUAGAAUUUUAGUGUCCAAACCAUAGUACACGUUUUGGUCCCCGGAGGCCGGUAAGGCUAUUUUUGGCCUCCCGUGACACAUGUUUUCAUCGUCAAACGACGAUUUCAUGCCUCCCGUCCGCCACCCAUGAUUUGGCCACUGAGACAGCUAAGGCUGUUUAUGGCCUCCCGUAGGCUAUGGCACACGUUUUCAUGGUCGAGCGACCAUUUUUAAGUACGUGUUCCACCACCCGCGUUUUGGUCCCCAGAGCACCUUAAAAUUGUCCUUGGCCUCCCACGAGCUGUAGCACACGUUUCCGUGGCCAAAGAGCCAAUUUCAUGUAUCCGACCUGCCACCUACGUUUUAGACCGGAGAGGCCGUUACGACAUUUUUUGCCACAAGUGAGCUAUAGCACACGUUUUUAUGGCAACCUAGACCCCAAAUCCAAUCCCUAAACCCUAACCUUAAACACCGACACUAAAAGGUUUUAGUGUCCAAACCAUAGUAAAAUGAAGUUUGAGUCUCCAAACCAUAGUAAGCUUGCAGGCAUGGUAGAAUUUUAGUGUCCAAACCAUAGUACACGUUUUAGUCCCCGGCAGCCCGUAAGGCUAUUUUGGCCUCCCGUGACACAUGUUUUUGUCGUCGAACAGCGAUUUCGUGCCUCCCGACCGCCACCCAUGAUUUGACCAUAGAGACUGGUAAGGUUGUUUUGGCCUCCCGUGAGCUAUAGCACACGUUUUCAUGGCCGAGCGACCAUUUUUAUGUCCGUGUUCCUCCACACGUGUUUUUGUCCCCGGAGCACCUUAAAGCGGUUCUUGGCCUCCCGCGAGCUAUAUCACACAUUUCCGUGGCCAAACAGCCAGUUUUAUGUAUCCGACCUGCCACCUUCGUUUUAGACCGGGGAGGCCGUUAUGGCAAUUUUUUUGCCACCCGUGAGCUAUAGCACACGAUUUUAUGGAAACCUAGACCCUAAUCCUAUCCCUAAACCUAAACCUAACAUCGACACUAAAGGAUUUUAGUGUUGAAAGCAUGGUAAAAUGAAAUUUGAGUCUCCCAACCUUAUCAACUUUGCUGACAUAGUAGAAUUUUAGUGUCCAAACCAUAGUACACGUUUUGGUCCCCGGAGGCCGGUAAGGCUAUUUUUGGCCUCCCGUGACACAUGUUUUCAUCGUCAAACGACGAUUUCAUGCCUCCCGUCCGCCACCCAUGAUUUGGCCACUGAGACUGCUAAGGCUGUUUAUGGCCUCCGUAGGCUAUGGCACACGUUUUCAUGGUCGAGCGACCAUUUUUAAGUACGUGUUCCACCACCCGCGUUUUGGUCCCAGAGCACCUUAAAUUGUCCUUGGCCUCCCACGAGCUGUAGCACACGUUUCCGUGGCCAAAGAGCCAAUUUCAUGUAUCCGACCUGCCACCUACGUUUUAGACCGGAGAGGCCGUUACGACAUUUUUUGCCACAAGUGAGCUAUAGCACACGUUUUUAUGGUAACCUAGACCCCAAAUCCAAUCCCUAAACCCUAACCUUAAACACCGACACUAAAAGGUUUUAGUGUCCAAACCAUAGUAAAAUGAAGUUUGAGUCUCCAAACCAUAGUAAGCUUGCAGGCAUGGUAGAAUUUUAGUGUCCAAACCAUAGUACACGUUUUAGUCCCCGGCAGCCCGUAAGGCUAUUUUGGCCUCCCGUGACACAUGUUUUUGUCGUCGAACAACGAUUUCGUGCCUCCCGACCGCCACCCAUGAUUUGACCAUAGAGACUGGUAAGGUUGUUUUGGCCUCCCGUGAGCUAUAACACACGUUUUCAUGGCCGAGCGACCAUUUUUAUGUCCGUGUUCCUCCACACGUGUUUUUGUCCCCGGAGCACCUUAAAGCGGUUCUUGGCCUCCCGCGAGCUAUAUCACACAUUUCCGUGGCCAAACAGCCAGUUUUAUGUAUCCGACCUGCCACCUUCGUUUUAGACCGGGGAGGCCGUUAUGGCAUUUUUUUGCCACCCGUGAGCUAUAGCACACGAUUUUAUGGAAACCUAGACCCUAAUCCCUAUCCCUAAACCCUAAACCUAAACAUCGACACUAAAGGAUUUUAGUGUUGAAAGCAUGGUAAAAUGAAAUUUGAGUCUCCCAACCUUAUCAACUUUGCUGACAUAGUAGAAUUUUAGUGUCCAAACCAUAGUACACGUUUUGGUCCCCGGAGGCCGGUAAGGCUAUUUUUGGCCUCCCGUGACACAUGUUUUCAUCGUCAAACGACGAUUUCAUGCCUCCCGUCCGCCACCCAUGAUUUGGCCACUGAGACUGCUAAGGCUGUUUAUGGCCUCCGUAGGCUAUGGCACACGUUUUCAUGGUCGAGCGACCAUUUUUAAGUACGUGUUCCACCACCGCGUUUUGGUCCCAGAGCACCUUAAAUUGUCCUUGGCCUCCCACGAGCUGUAGCACACGUUUCCGUGGCCAAAGAGCCAAUUUCAUGUAUCCGACCUGCCACCUACGUUUUAGACCGGAGAGGCCGUUACGACAUUUUUUGCCACAAGUGAGCUAUAGCACACGUUUUUAUGGUAACCUAGACCCCAAAUCCAAUCCCUAAACCCUAACCUUAAACACCGACACUAAAAGGUUUUAGUGUCCAAACCAUAGUAAAAUGAAGUUUGAGUCUCCAAACCAUAGUAAGCUUGCAGGCAUGGUAGAAUUUUAGUGUCCAAACCAUAGUACACGUUUUAGUCCCCGGCAGCCCGUAAGGCUAUUUUGGCCUCCCGUGACACAUGUUUUUGUCGUCGAACAGCGAUUUCGUGCCUCCCGACCGCCACCCAUGAUUUGACCAUAGAGACUGGUAAGGUUGUUUUGGCCUCCCGUGAGCUAUAGCACACGUUUUCAUGGCCGAGCGACCAUUUUUAUGUCCGUGUUCCUCCACACGUGUUUUUGUCCCCGGAGCACCUUAAAGCGGUUCUUGGCCUCCCGCGAGCUAUAUCACACAUUUCCGUGGCCAAACAGCCAUUUUAUGUAUCCGACCUGCCACCUUCGUUUUAGACCGGGGAGGCCGUUAUGGCAAUUUUUUUGCCACCCGUGAGCUAUAGCACACGAUUUUAUGGAAACCUAGACCCUAAUCCUAUCCCUAAACCCUAACUAACAUCGACACUAAAGGAUUUUAGUGUUGAAAGCAUGGUAAAAUGAAAUUUGAGUCUCCCAACCUUAUCAACUUUGCUGACAUAGUAGAAUUUUAGUGUCCAAACCAUAGUACACGUUUUGGUCCCCGGAGGCCGGUAAGGCUAUUUUUGGCCUCCCGUGACACAUGUUUUCAUCGUCAAACGACGAUUUCAUGCCUCCCGUCCGCCACCCAUGAUUUGGCCACUGAGACUGCUAAGGCUGUUUAUGGCCUCCGUAGGCUAUGGCACACGUUUUCAUGGUCGAGCGACCAUUUUAAGUACGUGUUCCACCACCGCGUUUUGGUCCCAGAGCACCUUAAAUUGUCCUUGGCCUCCCACGAGCUGUAGCACACGUUUCCGUGGCCAAAGAGCCAAUUUCAUGUAUCCGACCUGCCACCUACGUUUUAGACCGGAGAGGCCGUUACGACAUUUUUUGCCACAAGUGAGCUAUAGCACACGUUUUUAUGGUAACCUAGACCCCAAAUCCAAUCCCUAAACCCUAACCUUAAACACCGACACUAAAAGGUUUUAGUGUCCAAACCAUAGUAAAAUGAAGUUUGAGUCUCCAAACCAUAGUAAGCUUGCAGGCAUGGUAGAAUUUUAGUGUCCAAACCAUAGUACACGUUUUAGUCCCCGGCAGCCCGUAAGGCUAUUUUGGCCUCCCGUGACACAUGUUUUUGUCGUCGAACAGCGAUUUCGUGCCUCCCGACCGCCACCCAUGAUUUGACCAUAGAGACUGGUAAGGUUGUUUUGGCCUCCCGUGAGCUAUAGCACACGUUUUCAUGGCCGAGCGACCAUUUUUAUGUCCGUGUUCCUCCACACGUGUUUUUGUCCCCGGAGCACCUUAAAGCGGUUCUUGGCCUCCCGCGAGCUAUAUCACACAUUUCCGUGGCCAAACAGCCAGUUUUAUGUAUCCGACCUGCCACCUUCGUUUUAGACCGGGGAGGCCGUUAUGGCAUUUUUUUGCCACCCGUGAGCUAUAGCACACGAUUUUAUGGAAACCUAGACCCUAAAUCCUAUCCCUAAACCUAAACAUCGACACUAAAGGAUUUUAGUGUUGAAAGCAUGGUAAAAUGAAAUUUGAGUCUCCCAACCUUAUCAACUUUGCUGACAUAGUAGAAUUUUAGUGUCCAAACCAUAGUACACGUUUUGGUCCCCGGAGGCCGGUAAGGCUAUUUUUGGCCUCCCGUGACACAUGUUUUCAUCGUCAAACGACGAUUUCAUGCCUCCCGUCCGCCACCCAUGAUUUGGCCACUGAGACUGCUAAGGCUGUUUAUGGCCUCCGUAGGCUAUGGCACACGUUUUCAUGGUCGAGCGACCAUUUUUAAGUACGUGUUCCACCACCCGUUUUUGGUCCCAGAGCACCUUAAAUUGUCCUUGGCCUCCCACGAGCUGUAGCACACGUUUCGUGGCCAAAGAGCCAAUUUCAUGUAUCCGACCUGCCACCUACGUUUUAGACCGGAGAGGCCGUUACGACAUUUUUUGCCACAAGUGAGCUAUAGCACAUGUUUUUAUGGUAACCUAGACCCCAAAUCCAAUCCCUAAACCCUAACCUUAAACACCGACACUAAAAGGUUUUAGUGUCCAAACCAUAGUAAAAUGAAGUUUGAGUCUCCAAACCAUAGUAAGCUUGCAGGCAUGGUAGAAUUUUAGUGUCCAAACCAUAGUACACGUUUUAGUCCCCGGCAGCCCGUAAGGCUAUUUUGGCCUCCCGUGACACAUGUUUUUGUCGUCGAACAGCGAUUUCGUGCCUCCCGACCGCCACCCAUGAUUUGACCAUAGAGACUGGUAAGGUUGUUUUGGCCUCCCGUGAGCUAUAGCACACGUUUUCAUGGCCGAGCGACCAUUUUUAUGUCCGUGUUCCUCCACACGUGUUUUUGUCCCCGGAGCACCUUAAAGCGGUUCUUGGCCUCCCGCGAGCUAUAUCACACAUUUCCGUGGCCAAACAGCCAGUUUUAUGUAUCCGACCUGCCACCUUCGUUUUAGACCGGGGAGGCCGUUAUGGCAUUUUUUUGCCACCCGUGAGCUAUAGCACACGAUUUUAUGGAAACCUAGACCCUAAUCCUAUCCCUAAACCUAACUAACAUCGACACUAAAGGAUUUUAGUGUUGAAACCAUGGUAAAAUGAAAUUUGAGUCUCCCAACCUUAUCAACUUUGCUGACAUAGUAGAAUUUUAGUGUCCAAACCAUAGUACACGUUUUGGUCCCCGGAGGCCGGUAAGGCUAUUUUUGGCCUCCCGUGACACAUGUUUUCAUCGUCAAACGACGAUUUCAUGCCUCCCGUCCGCCACCCAUGAUUUGGCCACUGAGACUGCUAAGGCUGUUUAUGGCCUCCGUAGGCUAUGGCACACGUUUUCAUGGUCGAGCGACCAUUUUUAAGUACGUGUUCCACCACCGCGUUUUGGUCCCAGAGCACCUUAAAUGGUCCUUGGCCUCCCACGAGCUGUAGCACACGUUUCGUGGCCAAAGAGCCAAUUUCAUGUAUCCGACCUGCCACCUACGUUUUAGACCGGAGAGGCCGUUACGACAUUUUUUGCCACAAGUGAGCUAUAGCACAUGUUUUUAUGGUAACCUAGACCCCAAAUCCAAUCCCUAAACCCUAACCUUAAACACCGACACUAAAAGGUUUUAGUGUCCAAACCAUAGUAAAAUGAAGUUUGAGUCUCCAAACCAUAGUAAGCUUGCAGGCAUGGUAGAAUUUUAGUGUCCAAACCAUAGUACACGUUUUAGUCCCCGGCGGCCCGUAAGGCUAUUUUGGCCUCCCGUGACACAUGUUUUUGUCGUCGAACAGCGAUUUCGUGCCUCCCGACCGCCACCCAUAUUUGACCAUAGAGACUGGUAAGGUUGUUUUGGCCUCCCGUGAGCUAUAGCACACGUUUUCAUGGCCGAGCGACCAUUUUUAUGUCCGUGUUCCUCCACACGUGUUUUUUCCCCGGAGCACCUUAAAGCGGUUCUUGGCCUCCCGCGAGCUAUAUCACACAUUUCCGUGGCCAAACAGCCAAUUUUAUGUAUCCGACCUGCCACCUUCGUUUUAGACCGGGGAGGCCGUUAUGGCAUUUUUUUGCCACCCGUGAGCUAUAGCACACGAUUUUAUGGAAACCUAGACCCUAAUCCUAUCCCUAAACCUAAACUAAUCGACACUAAAGGAUUUUAGUGUUGAAACCAUGGUAAAAUGAAAUUUGAGUCUCCCAACCUUAUCAACUUUGCUGACAUAGUAGAAUUUUAGUGUCCAAACCAUAGUACACGUUUUGGUCCCCGGAGGCCGGUAAGGCUAUUUUUGGCCUCCCGUGACACAUGUUUUCAUCGUCAAACGACGAUUUCAUGCCUCCCGUCCGCCACCCAUGAUUUGGCCACUGAGACUGCUAAGGCUGUUUAUGGCCUCUCGUAGGUUAUGGCACACGUUUUCAUGGUCGAGCGACCAUUUUUAAGUACGUGUUCCACCACCCGUUUUUUGGUUCCCAGAGCACCUUAAAGUGGUCCUUGGCCUCCCACGAGCUGUAGCACAGGUUUUCGUGGCCAAAGAGCCAAUUUCAUGUAUCCGACCUGCCACCUACGUUUUAGACCGGAGAGGCCGUUACGACAUUUUUUGCCACAAGUGAGCUAUAGCACAUGUUUUUAUGGUAACCUAGACCCCAAAUCCAAUCCUUAAACCCUAACCUUAAACACCGACACUAAAAGGUUUUAGUGUCCAAACCAUAGUAAAAUGAAGUUUGAGUCUCCAAACCAUAGUAAGCUUGCAGGCAUGGUAGAAUUUUAGUGUCCAAACCAUAGUACACGUUUUAGUCCCCGGCGGACCGUAAGGCUAUUUUGGCCUCCCGUGACACAUGUUUUUGUCGUCGAACAGCGAUUUCGUGCCUCCCGACCGCCACCCAUUAUUUGACCAUAGAGACUGGUAAGGUGUUUUGGCCUCCCGUGAGCUAUAGCACACGUUUUCAUGGCCGAGCGACCAUUUUUAUGUCCGUGUUCCUCCACACGUGUUUUUUCCCCGGAGCACCUUAAAGCGGUUCUUGGCCUCCCGCGAGCUAUAUCACACAUUUCCGUGGCCAAACAGCCAAUUUUAUGUAUCCGACCUGCCACCUUCGUUUUAGACCGGGGAGGCCGUUAUGGCAUUUUUUUGCCACCCGUGAGCUAUAGCACACGAUUUUAUGGAAACCUAGACCCUAAAUCCUAUCCCUAAACCUAAACAUCGACACUAAAGGAUUUUAGUGUUGAAACCAUGGUAAAAUGAAAUUUGAGUCUCCCAACCUUAUCAACUUUGCUGACAUAGUAGAAUUUUAGUGUCCAAACCAUAGUACACGUUUUGGUCCCCGGAGGCCGGUAAGGCUAUUUUUGGCCUCCCGUGACACAUGUUUUCAUCGUCAAACGACGAUUUCAUGCCUCCCGUCCGCCACCCAUGAUUUGGCCACUGAGACUGCUAAGGCUGUUUAUGGCCUCCGUAGGCUAUGGCACACGUUUUCAUGGUCGAGCGACCAUUUUAAGUACGUGUUCCACCACCCUUUUUGGUCCCAGAGCACCUUAAAGUGGUCCUUGGCCUCCACGAGCUGUAGCACACGUUUCGUGGCCAAAGAGCCAAUUUCAUGUAUCCGACCUGCCACCUACGUUUUAGACGGAGAGGCCGUUACGACAUUUUUUGCCACAAGUGAGCUAUAGCACAUGUUUUUAUGGUAACCUAGACCCAAAUCCAAUCCCUAAACCCUAACCUUAAACACCGACACUAAAAGGUUUUAGUGUCCAAACCAUAGUAAAAUGAAGUUUGAGUCUCCAAACCAUAGUAAGCUUGCAGGCAUGGUAGAAUUUUAGUGUCCAAACCAUAGUACACGUUUUAGUCCCCGGCGGCCCGUAAGGCUAUUUUGGCCUCCCGUGACACAUGUUUUUGUCGUCGAACAGCGAUUUCGUGCCUCCCGACCGCCACCCAUUAUUUGACCAUAGAGACUGGUAAGGUUGUUUUGGCCUCCCGUGAGCUAUAGCACACGUUUUCAUGGCCGAGCGACCAUUUUUAUGUCCGUGUUCCUCCACACGUGUUUUUCUCCCCGGAGCACCUUAAAGCGGUUCUUGGCCUCCCGCGAGCUAUAUCACACAUUUCCGUGGCCAAACAGCCAAUUUUAUGUAUCCGACCUGCCACCUUCGUUUUAGACCGGGGAGGCCGUUAUGGCAUUUUUUGCCACCCGUGAGCUAUAGCACACGAUUUUAUGGAAACCUAGACCCUAAAUCCUAUCCCUAAACCUAAACAUCGACACUAAAGGAUUUUAGUGUUGAAACCAUGGUAAAAUGAAAUUUGAGUCUCCCAACCUUAUCAACUUUGCUGACAUAGUAGAAUUUUAGUGUCCAAACCAUAGUACACGUUUUGGUCCCCGGAGGCCGGUAAGGCUAUUUUUGGCCUCCCGUGACACAUGUUUUCAUCGUCAAACGACGAUUUCAUGCCUCCCGUCCGCCACCCAUGAUUUGACCAUGAGACUGGUAAGGCUGUUUUGGCCUCCCGUAGGCUAUAGCACACGUUUUCAUGGCCGAGCGACCAUUUUUAUGUCGUGUUCCUCCACACGUGUUUUUCUCCCCGGAGCACCUUAAAGCGGUUCUUGGCCUCCCACGAGCUAUAUCACACAUUUCCGUGGCCAAACAGCCAAUUUCAUGUAUCCGACCUGCCACCUUCGUUUUAGACCGGGAGGCCGUUACGCAUUUUUUGCCACACGUGAGCUAUAGCACACGAUUUUAUGGUAACCUAGACCCAAAUCCAUCCCUAAACCUAACCUUAAACACGACACUAAAGGUUUUAGUGUGAAACCAUAGUAAAAUGAAAUUUGAGUCUCCCAACCUAUAACUUGCUGACAUGUAGAAUUUUAGUGUCCAAACCAUAGUACACGUUUUGGUCCCCGGAGGCCGUAAGGCUAUUUUUGGCCUCCGUGACACAUGUUUUCAUCGUCAACGACGAUUUCAUGCCUCCCGUCCGCCACCCAUGAUUUGCCAUGAGACUGUAAGGCUGUUUUGGCCUCCCGUGACACAUGUUUUUGUCGUCCACAUUUUUUUUUUUUUUUUUUUUUUUUUUUUUUUUUUUAUUUCGUGCCUCCCGACCGCCACCCAUUAUUUGACCAUAGAGACUGGUAAGGUGUUUUGGCCUCCCGUGAGCUAUAGCACACGUUUUCAUGGCCGAGCGACCAUUUUUAUGUCCGUGUUCCUCCACACGUGUUUUUCUCCCGGAGCACCUUAAAGCGGUUCUUGGCCUCCCGCGAGCUAUAUCACACAUUUCCGUGGCCAAACAGCCAAUUUUAUGUAUCCGACCUGCCACCUUCGUUUUAGACCGGGGAGGCCGUUAUGGCAUUUUUUUGCCACCCGUGAGCUAUAGCACACGAUUUUAUGGAAACCUAGACCCUAAAUCCUAUCCCUAAACCUAAACAUCGACACUAAAGGAUUUUAGUGUUGAAACCAUGGUAAAAUGAAAUUUGAGUCUCCCAACCUUAUCAACUUUGCUGACAUAGUAGAAUUUUAGUGUCCAAACCAUAGUACACGUUUUGGUCCCCGGAGGCCGGUAAGGCUAUUUUUGGCCUCCCGUGACACAUGUUUUCAUCGUCAAACGACGAUUUCAUGCCUCCCGUCCGCCACCCAUGAUUUGUCCCAGAGCACCUUAAAGUGGUCCUUGGCCUCCCACGAGCUGUAGCACACCUACGUUUUAGACCGGAGAGGCCGUUACGACAUUUUUUGCCACAAGUGAGCUAUAGCACAUGUUUUUAUGGUAACCUAGACCCCAAAUCCAAUCCCUAAACCCUAACCUUAAACACCGACACUAAAAGGUUUUAGUGUCCAAACAUAGUAAAAUGAAGUUUGAGUCUCCAAACCAUAGUAAGCUUGCAGGCAUGGUAGAAUUUUAGUGUCCAAACCAUAGUACACAUUUUAGUCCCCGGAGGCCCGUAAGUCUAUUUUGGCCUCCCGUGACACAUGUUUUUGUCAUCGAACAGCGAUUUCGUGCCUCCCGUCCGCCACCCAUCAUUUGACCAUAGAGACUAGUAAGGCUGUUUUGGCCUCCCGCGAGCUAUAUCACACAUUUCCGUGGCCAAACAGCCAAUUUUAUGUAUCCGACCUGCCACCUUCGUUUUAGACCGGGGAGGCCGUUAUGGCAUUUUUUUGCCACCCGUGAGCUAUAGCACACGAUUUUAUGGAAACCUAGACCCUAAAUCCUAUCCCUAAACCUAAACAUCGACACUAAAGGAUUUUAGUGUUGAAACCAUGGUAAAAUGAAAUUUGAGUCUCCCAACCUUAUCAACUUUGCUGACAUAGUAGAAUUUUAGUGUCCAAACCAUAGUACACGUUUUGGUCCCCGGAGGCCGGUAAGGCUAUUUUUGGCCUCCCGUGACACAUGUUUUCAUCGUCAAACGACGAUUUCAUGCCUCCCGUCCGCCACCCAUGAUUUGGCCACUGAGACUGCUAAGGCUGUUUAUGGCCUCCCGUAGGCUAUGGCACACGUUUUCAUGGUCGAGCGACCAUUUUAAGUACGUGUUCCACCACCCGUUUUUGGUCCCAGAGCACCUUAAAGUGGUCCUUGGCCUCCCACGAGCUGUAGCACACGUUUCGUGGCCAAAGAGCCAAUUUCAUGUAUCCGACCUGCCACCUACGUUUAGACGGAGGCCGUUACGACAUUUUUUGCCACAAGUGAGCUAUAGCACAUGUUUUUAUGGUAACCUAGACCCAAAUCCAAUCCCUAAACCCUAACCUUAAACACCGACACUAAAAGGUUUUAGUGUCCAAACAUAGUAAAAUGAAGUUUGAGUCUCCAAACCAUAGUAAGCUUGCAGGCAUGGUAGAAUUUUAGUGUCCAACCAUAGUACACGUUUUAGUCCCCGGGCCGUAAGGCUAUUUUGGCCUCCCGUGACACAUGUUUUUGUCGUCGAACAGCGAUUUCGUGCCUCCCGACCGCCACCCAUAUUUGACCAUAGAGACUGUAAGGUGUUUUGGCCUCCCGUGAGCUAUAGCACACGUUUUCAUGGCCGAGCGACCAUUUUUAUGUCCGCGUUCCUCCACACGUGUUUUUUCCCCGGAGCACCUUAAAGCGGUUCUUGGCCUCCCGCGAGCUAUAUCACACAUUUCCGUGGCCAAACAGCCAAUUUUAUGUAUCCGACCUGCCACCUUCGUUUUAGACCGGGGAGGCCGUUAUGGCAUUUUUUUGCCACCCGUGAGCUAUAGCACACGAUUUUAUGGAAACCUAGACCCUAAAUCCUAUCCCUAAACCUAAACAUCGACACUAAAGGAUUUUAGUGUUGAAACCAUGGUAAAAUGAAAUUUGAGUCUCCCAACCUAUCAACUUUGCUGACAUAGUAGAAUUUUAGUGUCCAAACCAUAGUACACGUUUUGGUCCCGGAGGCCGGUAAGGCUAUUUUUGGCCUCCCGUGACACAUGUUUUCAUCGUCAAACGACGAUUUCAUGCCUCCCGUCCGCCACCCAUGAUUUGGCCACUGAGACUGCUAAGGCUGUUUAUGGCCUCCCGUAAGCCUAUAGGCACACCGUUUUUCCAAUGGUCCGGACGCUGAGCCAUUUUUAAGACUACGUAACGUUACGACAUUUUUUGCCACAGUGAGCUAUAGCACAGUUUUAUGGUACCUACCCAAAUCCAAUCCUAAACCUAACCUUAAACACCGACACUAAAGGUUAGUGUCCCAUAGUAAAUGGUUGGUCUCCAAACCAUAGUAGCUGCAGAUGGUAGAAUUUAGUGUCCAACCAUAGUACAGUUUUAGUCCCGGGCCGUAGGCCUCCCGUGACACAUGUUUUUGUCGUCGAACAGCGAUUUCGUGCCUCCCGUCCGCCACCCAUGAUUUGACCAUAGAGACUGGUAAGGCUGUUUUGGCCUCCCGUGAGCUAUAGCACACGUUUUCAUGGCCGAGCGACCAUUUUUAUGUCCGCGUUCCCCACACGUGUUUUUGUCCCCGGAGCACCUUAAAGCGGUUCUUGGCCUCCCGCGAGCUAUAUCACACAUUUCCGUGGCCAAACAGCCAAUUUUAUGUAUCCGACCUGCCACCUUCGUUUUAGACCGGGGAGGCCGUUAUGGCAUUUUUUUGCCACCCGUGAGCUAUAGCACACGAUUUUAUGGAAACCUAGACCCUAAAUCCUAUCCCUAAACCUAAACUAACAUCGACACUAAAGAUUUUAGUGUUGAAACCAUGGUAAAAUGAAAUUUGAGUCUCCCAACCUUAUCAACUUUGCUGACAUAGUAGAAUUUUAGUGUCCAAACCAUAGUACACGUUUUGGUCCCCGGAGGCCGGUAAGGCUAUUUUUGGCCUCCCGUGACACAUGUUUUCAUCGUCAAACGACGAUUUCAUGCCUCCCGUCCGCCACCCAUGAUUUGGCCACUGAGACUGCUAAGGUCUGUUUAUGGCCUCAUCCGUAAGCUAUAGCCACCUACGAUUUUCAUGAUCGGAGAGGCCGUUACGACAUUUUUUGCCACAAGUGAGCUAUAGCACAUGUUUUAUGGUAACCUAGACCCAAAUCCAAUCCCUAAACCCUAACCUUAACACCGACACUAAAAGGUUUUAGUGUCCAAACAUAGUAAAAUGAAGUUUGAGUCUCCAAACCAUAGUAAGCUUGCAGGCAUGGUAGAAUUUAGUGUCCAACCAUAGUAACGUUUUAGUCCCCGGGGCCGUAAGGCUAUUUUGGCCUCCCGUGACACAUGUUUUUGUCGUCGAACAGCGAUUUCGUGCCUCCCGUCCGCCACCCAUAUUUGACCAUAGAGACUGGUAAGGCUGUUUUGGCCUCCCGUGAGCUAUAGCACACGUUUUCAUGGCCGAGCGACCAUUUUUAUGUCCGCGUUCCUCCACACGUGUUUUUUCCCCGGAGCACCUUAAAGCGGUUCUUGGCCUCCCGCGAGCUAUAUCACACAUUUCCGUGGCCAAACAGCCAAUUUUAUGUAUCCGACCUGCCACCUUCGUUUUAGACCGGGGAGGCCGUUAUGGCAUUUUUUUGCCACCCGUGAGCUAUAGCACACGAUUUUAUGGAAACCUAGACCCUAAAUCCUAUCCCUAAACCUAACUAACAUCGACACUAAAUGAUUUUAGUGUUGAAACCAUGGUAAAAUGAAAUUUGAGUCUCCCAACCAUAUCAACUUUGCUGACAUAGUAGAAUUUUAGUGUCCAAACCAUAGUACACGUUUUGGUCCCUGGAGGCCGGUAAGGCUAUUUUUGGCCUCCCGUGACACAUGUUUUCAUCGUCAAACGACGAUUUCAUGCCUCCCGUCCGCCACCCAUGAUUUGGCCACUGAGACUGCUAAGGCUGUUUAUGGCCUCCCGUAGGCUAUGGCACACGUUUUCAUGGUCGAGCGACCAUUUUUAAGUACGUGUUCCACCACCCGCUUUUUGGUCCCAGAGCACCUUAAAGUGGUCCUUGGCCUCCCACGAGCUGUAGCACACGUUUCCGUGGCCAAAGAGCCAAUUUCAUGUAUCCGACCUGCCACCUACGUUUUAGACCGGAGAGGCCGUUACGACAUUUUUUGCCACAAGUGAGCUAUAGCACAUGUUUUUAUGGUAACCUAGACCCCAAAUCCAAUCCCUAAACCCUAACCUUAAACACCGACACUAAAAGGUUUUAGUGUCCAAACAAUAGUAAAAUGAAGUUUGAGUCUCCAAACCAUAGUAAGCUUGCAGGCAUGGUAGAAUUUUAGUGUCCAAACCAUAGUACACAUUUUAGUCCCCGGAGGCCCGUAAGUCUAUUUUGGCCUCCCGUGACACAUGUUUUUGUCACCGAACAGCGAUUUCGUGCCUCCCGUUCGCCACCCAUCAUUUGACCAUAGAGACUAGUAAGGCUGUUUUGGCCUCCCGUGAGCUAUAGCACACGUUUUCAUGGCCGAGCGACCAUUUUUAUGUCCGCGUUCCGCCACACGUGUUUUUGUCCUCGGAGCACCUUAAAGCGGUUCUUGGCCUCCCACGAGCUAUAUCACACAUUUCCGUGGCCAAACAGCAAAUUUUAUGUAUCCGACCUGCCACCUUCGUUUUAGACCGGGGAGGCCGUUAUGGCAUUUUUUGCCACCCGUGAGCUAUAGCACACGAUUUUAUGGAAACCUAGACCCUAAAUCCUAUCCCUAAACCCUAAACGUUAACAUCGACACUAAAUGAUUUUAGUGUUGAAACCAUGGUAAAAUGAAAUUUGAGUCUCCCAACCAUAUCAACUUUGCUGACAUAGUAGAAUUUUAGUGUCCAAACCAUAGUACACGUUUUGGUCCC